rnacentral:rRNA from 1 species
CCUANGGGUGGCAGCAGUGGGGAAUUUUGGACAAUGGGGGAAACCCUGAUCCAGCCAUUCCGCGUGAGUGAAGAAGGCCUUCGGGUCGUAAAGCACUUUUAGCAGGGAUGAGGAAGGACAGUACCUGCUGAAUAAGCCUCGGCUAACUACGUGCCAGCAGCCGCGGUAAAACGUAGGAGGCGAGCGUUAUCCGGAUUUACUGGGUGUAAAGCGUGUGCAGGCGGUACAGCAAGUUGGAUGUGAAAGCUCCUGGCUUAACUGGGAGAGGUCGUUCAAAACUGCUGAACUUGAGUGUGGGAGAGGGAGGUGGAAUUCCGGGUGUAGUGGUGAAAUGCGUAGAUAUCCGGAGGAACACCAGUGGCGAAAGCGGCCUCCUGGCCCAUUUACUGACGCUCAGACACGAAAGCUAGGGGAGCGAACGGGAUUAGAUACCCGGNUANUC